GACGAACGCUGGCGGCGUGCCUAAUACAUGCAAGUAGAACGCUGAAGGAGGAGCUUGCUCUGCUGGAGGAGUUGCGAACGGGUGAGUAACGCGUAGGUAACCUGCCUGGUAGCGGGGGAUAACUAUUGGAAACGAUAGCUAAUACCGCAUAAGAGUAGAUGUUGCAUGACAUUCACUUAAAAGGUGCAAUUGCAUCACUACCAGAUGGACCUGCGUUGUAUGAGCUAGAGGGUGGGGUAACGGCUGACCAAGGCGACGAGACAUAGCCGACGUGCGAGGGGGCUCGGCCACGCUGGGACGGGGGCACGGCCCGCCCCCCUGCGGGAGGCACCCGUAGCGGACCUUCGGGAGUGGCCGGAAGUCUGACCGUGCGACGCCGCGUGAGUGCAGAAGGCUGUCGGGUCGUGAGGCUCUGUUGUGCGUGAAGAACGAGUGUGAGUGUUGACCGUGCACACUGUGACGGUAUCUGACCAGAAAGCGCCGGCUAACUACGUG
rnacentral:rRNA from 1 species